rnacentral:rRNA from 1 species
UAAAUAAAUAAUUUAAUACCAGAUUAUUACUAGAUAUGUUCUUUAAAAUUAAAGAUUUUGGCGGUAUUUUAGACUUUUCAGAGGAACCUGUUCUAUAAUUGAUAUUCCACGAUUAAUUAAACUAAUCUUAGUAGUUUGUAUAUCGUUGUAGUUGAAUAUUUUAAAAGAAAAAUAAUAUUCAAAAAUUUAUAUUAAAAAAUAAAUCAAAUCAAGGUGCAGUUUAUAGAUUAGGAGAAAUGGGUUACAAUAAAAGUAUUUAUGGUUUUAAUAAUUAAAAUUGUUAUAUAAAUUGGAUUUGAAAGUAAUUUAAUUUAGUUUAAUUAAAUGAUUUUAGCUCUAAAAUAUGC